CCUACUCCUAUGGUUGUUGAGUUGCCAAGACAACACAAACAUAUUUGAGGCCAGUCUACUAAGGCUCCACCUCAGGCCUUGUGGAUUGGUGUCAUGAGGCCAGGCUUCUAGGGCACCACCUCAGGCCUUGUGGAUGGGUGUCGUGAGGCCAGUCUACUAGGGCACCACCUCAGGCCUUGUGGAUGGGUGUCAUGAGGCCAGGUUACUAGGGCACCACCUCAGGCCUUGUGGAUGGGUGUCAUGAGGCCAGGUUACUAGGGCACCACCUCAGGCCUUGUGGAUGGGUGUCAUGAGGCCAGGUUACUAGGGCACCACCUCAGGCCUUGUGGAUUGGUGUCAUGAGGCCAGGUUACUAGGGCACCACCUCAGGCCUUGUGGAUGGGUGUCAUGAGGCCAGGUUACUAGGGCACCACCUCAGGCCUUGUGGAUGGGUGUCAUGAGGCCAGGUUACUAGGGCACCACCUCAGGCCUUGUGGAUGGGUGUCAUGAGGCCAGGUUACUAGGGCACCACCUCAGGCCUUGUGGAUUGGUGUCAUGAGGCCAGGUUACUAGAGCACCACCUCAGGCCUUGUGGAUUGGUGUCAUGAGGCCAGGUUACUAGGGCACCACCUCAGGCCUUGUGGAUGGGUGUCAUGAGGCCAGGUUACUAGGGCACCACUUCAGGCCUUGUGGAUGGGUGUCAUGAGGCCAGGUUACUAGGGCACCACCUCAGGCCUUGUGGAUGGGUGUCAUGAGGCCAGGUUACUAGGGCACCACCUCAGGCCUUGUGGAUGGGUGUCAUGAGGCCAGGUUACUACGGCACCACCUCAGGCCUUGUGGAUGGGUGUCAUGAGGCCAGGCUACUAGAGCACCACCUCAGGCCUUGUGGAUGGGUGUCAUGAGGCCAGGCUACUAGGGCUCCACCUCAGGCCUUGUAGAUUGGUGUCAUGAGGCCUGGUUACUAGAGCACCACCUCAGGCCUUGUGGAUGGGUGUCAUGAGGCCAGGCUACUAGGGCUCCACCUCAGGCCUUGUAGAUUGGUGUCAUGAGGCCAGUCUACUAGGGCACCACCUCAGGCCUUGUGGAUGGGUGUGAUGAGGCCAGUCUACUAGGGCUCCACUCAGGCCUUGUGGAUGGGUGUGAUGAGGCCAGGUUACUAGGGCACCACCUCAGGCCUUGUGGAUGGGUGUGAUGAGGCCAGUCUACUAGGGCACCACCUCAGGCCUUGUGGAUGGGUGUGAUGAGGCCAGUCUACUAGGGCUCCACCUCAGGCCUUGUAGAUUGGUGUCAUGAGGCCAGUCUACUAGGGCACCAACUCAGGCCUUGUGGAUGGGUGUCAUGAGGCCAGGUUACUAGAGCACCACCUCAGGCCUUGUGGAUUGGUGUCAUGAGGCCAGGUUACUAGAGCACCACCUCAGGCCUUGUGGAUGGGUGUCAUGAGGCCAGGUUACUAGAGCACCACCUCAGGCCUUGUGGAUGGGUGUCAUGAGGCCAGGUUACUAGAGCACCACCUCAGGCCUUGUGGAUGGGUGUCAUGAGGCCAGGUUACUAGAGCACCACCUCAGGCCUUGUGGAUGGGUGUCAUGAGGCCAGGUUACUAGAGCACCACCUCAGGCCUUGUGGAUGGGUGUCAUGAGGCCAGGUUACUAGAGCACCAGAAACACAGGUGAUUAUAUAAGUAGAUGAGUUGGUGUUUAGUUGUAAUGAAUUAUAAUGAUAAACUCUAAUGUAAACUGUUUAUACUUUCAUAUACUGACUGUCGGUCCAUCUGGGUUGUGGCCACCCUCACCAGACCCAGACCCGAUGUUGAGCCCUAUGGUGAUCAGCUGGCUGGCGUCUGCUCUGACCUUCCUCGUGGCUCUCCUCAUCAUCAUCAUCAUCGUUGCCAGAGUGCUCUGCAAGAGGGAGAAGAAACCCUCGGAGCUAGAGAGAGAGACCAGAACCUGUGUGGAGAACACUUACGUUGCCUUGGCAAUAAAAUUGUGAGUUGGGCAUGUUGCUAUGUUUUUGAGAGAACCAUUAAAGAUGGAACCAUGGGGAGACAUUCCUGAGCUGACAAACCUUCCUGAAGGAUGGCUCUGGAGCACAGGUGGAGAAGACACAAGACCAAGUUAUCCGAAAGCACUACGAAGGAGACAUCGACACGAAAUGCCUCAAUCUCUCAGCGUCUACUAGUAGUACCUGGUAGAAUCCUGCAUUAGAACAUGACAGCAGCACUUGUAGGUAGAGUAAUUGUUAGGUCAUCAUCUAUAUACCAGGUACACUGUAAUAAUAAACACUACAAUCAACUAUGAAAAGGGCGUUGACUAUAAUGACCCUUUCUGGACCAGUUCUCAGGUCAGCCACAACUGACAAUGGUGGACAUGAAAUAGAACACUGUGUUCCAAUGAUUUAAAAUAUCCAAUGUAGUGGUUUUUAUCUCAAAUCAUUUCUGUGUAACAAUUAAGUACUUUACUGUGAUUUGUUUUCAAAUAAAAAAUGAAAAAAAAUAAACAAAAAAAA